AUUGAACGCUGGCGGAAUGCUUUCCACAUGCAAGUCGAACGGCAGCACGGACUUCGGUCUGGUGGCGAGUGGCGAACGGGUGAGUAAUGUAUCGGAACGUGCCCAGUCGUGGGGGAUAACGUAGUGAAAAUUACGCUAAUACCGCAUACGAUCUAUGGAUGAAAGCGGGGGAUCGCAAGACCUCGCGCGACUGGAGCGGCCGAUAUCAGAUUAGGUAGUUGGUGGGGUAAAGGCCCACCAAGCCAACGAUCUGUAGCUGGUCUGAGAGGACGACCAGCCACACUGGAACUGAGACACGGUCCAGACUCCUACGGGAGGCAGCAGUGGGGAAUUUUGGACAAUGGGCGAAAGCCUGAUCCAGCCAUUCCGCGUGCAGGAUGAAGGCCCUCGGGUUGUAAACUGCUUUUGUACAGAACGAAAAGGUUUCUACUAAUACUAGGAGCUCAUGACGGUACUGUAAGAAUAAGCACCGGCUAACUACGUGCCAGCAGCCGCCGUAA
rnacentral:rRNA from 1 species